rnacentral:rRNA from 1 species
CGGACCGGCGCGACGGUGAGUAACGCGUAUGUAACUUACCUAUCAGGAGGGGAUAACCCGGCGAAAGUCGGACUAAUACCGCAUGAAGCAGGGGCCCCGCAUGGGGAUAUUUGCUAAAGAUUCAUCGCUGAUAGAUAGGCAUGCGUUCCAUUAGGCAGUUGGCGGGGUAACGGCCCACCAAACCGACGAUGGAUAGGGGUUCUGAGAGGAAGGUCCCCCACAUUGGUACUGAGACACGGACCAA